UGUUGACAUUAUAGUUGCGCAGGUACUUUGUUGACUCUAGAGAACCUCGGGACAAUCGCACAUCCCUGUGACGGCGACUUUGCAUUCGGAUGUCAUUCAUAUCAACUUUCGAUGUCAGUUUCUGCGCCUACCAUGGUGACCACGGGUAACGGGGAAUCAGGGUUCCAUUCCGUACAGGGACCCUGACAAACGGCUACCACAUGCAAGGAAGGCAGCAGACGCGCAUAUGACCCACUCCCGACGUGGGAAGGUAGUGACGACA